rnacentral:rRNA from 1 species
UACGGAGGGUGCAAGCGUUGUCCGGAUUUAUUGGGUUUAAAGGGUGCGUAGGCGGCCCUGUAAGUCAGUGGUGAAAUACUGCAGCUUAACUGUAGCAUUGCCAUUGAUACUGCAGGGCUUGAGUACAGAUGAGGUAGGCGGAAUUGAUGGUGUAGCGGUGAAAUGCAUAGAUACCAUCAAGAACACCGAUUGCGAAGGCAGCUUGCUAGGCUGUGACUGACGCUGAGGCACGAAAGCGUGGGGAUCGAACAGG